rnacentral:tRNA from 1 species
GCCGAGGUAGUCAAGAGGCCAAAGACGGUGGACUCAAGAUCUAAGGCUUUGACGCCCAUGGGAUAUCCACUCCUGUAGGGGUUCGUUGAUUGCUUGCCAAUCAGCGCCCGAAUCGCGAGUUCGAAUCUCGUCCUCGGCA